GACGAACGCUGGCGGCGUGCUUAACACAUGCAAGUCGAACGGUGAAGCCCUUCGGGGUGGAUCAGUGGCGAACGGGUGAGUAACACGUGAGCAAUCUGCCCUUGACUCUGGGAUAACUUCGGGAAACCGGAGCCAAUACCGGAUAUGACACAUAAUCGCAUGGUUUGUGUGUGGAAAGAUUUAUCGGUCAGGGAUGAGCUCGCGGCCUAUCAGCUUGNGGUGGGGUAAUGGCCUACCAAGGCGACGACGGGUAGCCGGCCUGAGAGGGCGACCGGCCACACUGGGACUGAGACACGGCCCAGACUCCUACGGGAGGCAGCAGUGGGGAAUAUUGCGCAAUGGGCGAAAGCCCGACGCAGCGACGCCGCGUGAGGGA
rnacentral:rRNA from 1 species